rnacentral:lncRNA from 1 species
GGGAGGCGGCCGACGGCGGGAGUUGGGGGGGGCGGGGCUCCGGCCUGGGGAACGGUCGCGGAGGGCGGGGCGGCCCGGUAGAGGCCACGACCGUGCAGACCGGCCGCCGCCAGAAGAGAGGAAGCGUGAGAAACGACGAGACCCUGCCGGUGGCGACAACGUGGACCCAAGGCCCUCGUGUACAAACUGAAAAACACACAGAGACACAACGUCGGAUCAGAGAAGAAUCUGGCGCUCGCCGGAGGGGGGCGGGGAUGGGGGUGUCCAGGCUUCCAGGUGCAGCUCAGGGAACAGUCGGUGCUGAUGUAGCAGCGACACCGGCGGGUCACUGUCGUGCACCUGAGACCAGUGGAGCACGUGUGCCAAGUGCACUUCCGCUGAAAGAGGAAGGGAGCAAAUCCGUGCCCACUGCCAGGAUAUCAAGGGUGUGCAAACGGCCACGCACAUGACCAGGAUUCCCUGAAAAGGCCUCGCUGGCAUCCCGUUCCCGGUACGUGGACUCACGGAGGGUUGGUGUGGGGUCCUCGGGCGGAACGGCCGGGCAGACCUGGGGGUGGCCUCCCAGGAGGGCGAGCUAGGCCCCCACAGUCAGGAGUCACUUCCUGGAUGGCCCAUGAGCAUCCCUGGGUCCUACGGGAGGAGCAUGACCCGGGGAAGAGAGCCCAGCGCGGGGAGGUUUUGAUCAGACAGACAGACGUGGCUUCGGAAGACUCCCCAGCAGCUGUCUUCCUGCUGCCCUAUCACCUGGAUCGGCUUCUGAGUCCCCAAACCCUGCUGGGUGGGCUUCUCCCCUCCGUCGUUGACAGAGACGCCGAGCGGGGCUCCACUCCGGCGGCGGUAAACCCCAGCUUCCUUCACCUUUGCUGAGCCCCGGGUGCCCUUGGUGCCCGGUGAAGGCCGCACGCUUCUUCUUGGAAAAGUGUUUUCAAACACGCGUAGUAAAGCACAUAGCAUUAGGGUGGAGAUCAAUUACCCUGGAAUAGGGUCGGUGAAAUAUCUGUGGUGUAGAAACCACGUGUUUAUUAGCGUGUUAAAAAACGAGAUCCGGCGUCGGUCCAACUACUAUCCUUUUGAUGUAACGAGGAAAAAAAUCCAGCAUCUCCACAUGUCUGCAGUAGCUGGACGUGCAAACGUCUCAUCAUUUCUGUUGGUGACAAAGUCACAGGUGAUGUGAGCACGAAUGAGCCUUGUUCUCUGCACUAGUCAUGGGAGAAAUUGCUGAAUUUCAGUUAGAGAUUAGGGAAAAUAAAGAUAUAAUCCACACACCA